GGCUUGGGCUUCCAGGAAGAAGCUCCUUGCCGAGCACAUGGCUAAUGGCUGCUGCCUAAAAAUGGAGGAUUCGGAGAAGAUGGAGGGCGUAGCCCUCACCCUUUCACUGGUCAGUUCUUUCCAGGUU